UGGGGAAUAUUGGACAAUGGGGGCAACCCUGAUCCAGCAAUGCCGCGUGUGUGAAGAAGGACUUCGGGUUGUAAAGCACUUUUAUCGGGAACGAAACAUUGUCGGCCAAUACCCGGCAAGACUGACGGUACCCGAGGAAUAAGCACCGGCUAACUCCGUGCCAGCAGCCGCGGUAAUACGGAGGGUGCAAGCGUUAAUCGGAAUUACUGGGCGUAAAGCGUGCGCAGGCGGUUUGUUAAGUCUGCUGUGAAAUCCCCGAGCUCAACUUGGGAAUUGCAGUGGAUACUGGCAAGCUGGAGUACGGUAGAGGAAGGUGGAAUUCCCGGUGUAGCAGUGAAAUGCGUAGAGAUCGGGAGGAACACCAGUGGCGAAGGCGGCCUUCUGGACCAGUACUGACGCUCAUGCACGAAAGCGUGGGGAGCAAACA
rnacentral:rRNA from 1 species